rnacentral:rRNA from 1 species
AAGAGCGGUGGGGCGGAGCCGGUAUGAAGAUGGAGGGAGCAAGUGUGGUCGUGAUGGAUUGGACGUCAAGAGCGAGGAGGCGGGUCGGUAGGUCGUGGGUGAAAACUGUGGGAGCAACUCAGGGAGGCCACGCAGUAUGGCCGUGGCUCGAGUCCGGUAGGGGAGCACGGAAUUCCUGGUGUAGCGGGGAAAUGCGCAGAUAUCAGGAGGAACACCGGUGGCGAAGGCGGUGCUCUGGGCCGGUACUGACGCUGAGGAGCGAAAGCGUGGGUAGCAAACAGGAUUAGAUACCCGGGUAGUC